rnacentral:rRNA from 1 species
AAUCAACGCUGGCGGCGUGCCUCAGACAUGCAAGUCGAACGAUUAAGACUUCCUUCGGGAAGUGUAUAAAGUGGCGCACGGGUGAGUAACACGUAAGUAAUCUACCCUCGAGUGGGGAAUAACGUUCGGAAACGAACGCUAAUACCGCAUAAUGCAGCGGCAUCGCAAGAUGACAGUUGUUAAAGGAGUAAUUCGCUUGAGGAGGAGCUUGCGGCAGAUUAGCUAGUUGGUAAGGUAACGGCUUACCAAGGCUACGAUCUGUAUCCGGUCUAAGAGGACGGUCGGACACACUGACACUGAAUAACGGGUCAGACUCCUACGGGAGGCAGCAGUCGGGAAUUUUGGGCAAUGGGCGAAAGCCUGACCCAGCAACGCCGCGUGAAGGAUGAAGUAUUUCGGUAUGUAAACUUCGAAAGAAUGGGAAGAAUAAGUGACGGUACCAUUUAUAAGCUCCGGCUAACUACGUGCCAGCCGCCGCAGUAACAC